ACGGGAGGCAGCAGUGGGGAAUAUUGGGCAAUGGGCGAAAGCCUGACCCAGCAACGCCGCGUGAAGGAAGAAGGCCUUCGGGUUGUAAACUUCUUUUAUAGAGGACGAAGAAAGUGACGGUACUCUAUGAAUAAGCCACGGCUAACUACGUGCCAGCAGCCGCGGUAAUACGUAGGUGGCAAGCGUUAUCCGGAUUUACUGGGUGUAAAGGGCGCGUAGGCGGGAAAGCAAGUCAGAUGUGAAAUCCAGGGGCUCAACUCCUGAACUGCAUUUGAAACUGUUUUUCUUGAGUGUCGGAGAGGUAGAUGGAAUUCCUAGUGUAGCGGUGAAAUGCGUAGAUAUUAGGAGGAACACCAGUGGCGAAGGCGAUCUACUGGACGAUAACUGACGCUGAGGCGCGAAAGCGUGGGGAGCAAACAGGAUUAGAUACCCUGGUA
rnacentral:rRNA from 2 species